GUUCAUUUCAAUUUCGCUAAAUUCAGAUCGAGAUCCACAAUAAAAAAAACCCUAAUUUUGUUUUCAGAUCCAAAAUGGACGCUCUCGAUACUGUUUUCGAUCCUCUUAGAGAUUUCGCCAAAGACAGCGUAAGGCUCGUCAAAAGGUGCCACAAGCCUGAUCGCAAAGAAUUUACCAAGGUUGCAACCCGUACGGCGAUCGGUUUUGUUGUGAUGGGAUUCGUUGGAUUUUUCGUCAAGUUGAUAUUCAUUCCAAUCAACAACAUCAUCGUUGGUGCUUCUUAAGUGGCUAUAUAAAGGAGAAGUACAACUGGAGAUGUAGAGCAAGUGAUAAAAAGUGUUGCAAAAUCUUAGUUUCAUAUUGUAAUCCGUAUGUAGUCUUAGUCUUAUUUGUGAACCGCCUGGUUAAUGGGGACUUUGUCAUCGAGCUUCCCCCCACCCAAUCCGUUUUCAGAUUUUGUAAACUUUGCUGCUGAUGUCAAGACAUCUAUUUAUUUUUUUUCAAUAUACUUUUUGCA
rnacentral:misc_RNA from 1 species